CGUGGAGCAUGUGGUUUAAUUCGAAGCAACGCGCAGAACCUUACCACCUUUUGACAUGCCUGGACCGCCAGAGAGAUCUGGCUUUUCCCUUUUGGGGACGUAGGACACAGGUGCUGCAUGGCUGUCGUCAGCUCGUGUCGUGAGAUGUUGGGUUAAGUCCCGCAACGAGCGCAACCCCCGCCUUCAGUUGCCAACGGUUCGGCCGUGCACUCUGGAGGAACUGCCUGUGACAAGCAGGAGGAAGGUGGGGAUGACGUCAAGUCCUCAUGGCCCUUAUGGGCUGGGCUACACACGUGCUACAAUGGCGGUGACAGAGGGAUGCAAUACCGCGAGGUGGAGCAAAUCCCUAAAAGCCGUCUCAGUUCGGAUUGUUCUCUGCAACUCGAGAGCAUGAAGUUGGAAUCGCUAGUAAUCGCGGAUCAGCUCGCCGCGGUGAAUACGUUCCCGGGCCUU
rnacentral:rRNA from 1 species